AUGGGAUGCCUCACACACCAGCCCCUAGACUUCAUCCUGACAUCAGUUGUGGACACGACGAGCGCAGGAUAUGUUACCUCACCAAAAAAUCACAACCAGCUCAGCUCCAAGGGUCUCGAUGGGCUUAACAAACAGGUACGCAUGUUGCAAAGCACCUGGAGCUGGAACUCAUUCUCCUGUCCCUGGGGAGGAGACCGUGGUACCCCCACCACCUCAGCGAGGCAUUGCAGUCCUACUUCACGUUCCUCUCCUCCCCAGCGUCGUCAGCCAUCAAAGAGCUGCCUCUGCUGGCUUCACGCCAUCUGGAAUCCCCUGAGUCUGAUGGGCCCCAUCUUUAUUUUUAGGUGCAACCAUCUGUUGAUUAAGACACACACGGUCCAUCUCUGGCCUGUGAACCGGAGCCGGGCAACCGCCUCUUGGGGUUUUAGUGCCUUGCCCCCUUGCUCCUCAGCGCUCCACUAUCCCUACACAGAUGUUCAGUCUGUCCGCUGCACCUGUCAGCGGGACACACUGCUCUCUGGAUUCCCUGGGGUCUCUCUGCUUCGUUUGCUCCUCUUUUUCUCUUUUCGUAUUCCCCCAGUGAAACACAAACAUUUCCCACCCAGAGUGUAAUUAAAUCUCUUUAGCCUGUAUUUUGAAUCAACACACAUUUGGGAAUGUGAUCAUGGCAACCAGCUUCAUGCGUCCUGGAGCUCUCGAGUCUGUUUCUACUUGUGAUUGACAUUCACAUACCGCUACCAAAAUUAGGAGCCAUCAGUCAAGCAAAAAGUUAUUAUCAGAGCGCACUGAACACAACCCAACUCCAAAUGGAAUUGAGGGGUUUUUUUCCAAUAAUGAAUGUCGGAGUAAUUUAACUAAUCUCUAGAUUCAGCCUGAGUUUGGUUUUUUCUCAUACAUAAGCAAAUAGAAAUCUGGAAAGCUACAAGUGUGGUGCAAGCAAAUUAAUCUUUGGAUAGAAAUUUAACCUGUGGAAGUCAACUAACUCCUCUAAACAUCUUUUAAACUAUAUGCUUGCUUCUAUUUCUUUCAACUUGUGUCAUGUAGAAUUCUAUGCCACAAAUUUAGACUUAAGCUGCUGAUGAAAGGAAAUUGGUUCAAGAGAAGGAAGGAAGGUACCCAUUUAUCCUAUUUUGCAAUUUCUAAAAUUAUCACCCUUAUUCCACACUCCUAGAAAAUGCUUUUUUCACAUUAUAACACGCCUCUUGGCCUCUGUCCAUUUUUACCACAUAUAUUUGCAGCAGACAAAAGAGUAAGGUUUACUCUCAGAGCAGAGAAACCUAUCAUUUGGGGAAUGCAAUGAUUGAAGUUUGAAUAUUACAGUAUAUCCAGCCCAGGAUGCACUGGGGCAGGUAGUCUCCACAAUGGUUUUUGCUCAUCUUACAAAUACAUCAGCCUUUUUCCCAAGAGAUGAAUGGGAAGAGGCUAAAAUUAUUUGUCCAACAAGGCUAGGAAAACCAGCAGAGGAAUGGUCUCAAGACCACAUAUUGAGCACAGUGUGACAGCAGUCUAGACCAUGAUCAUAACUGAAGACUUUGCUUUCAUAAAAUAUAAGAGGGAAAGCUAUGCCCUGGUAUAUUUCACAGAAUAAUGAUUCCCAACGUAAACAUCAGUAGCAGGCAAACCUGAGUUGAGUCCAAGCUCUGUCUCUUACUGGUUUUGUCAGAGAAAAUAGCAAAACCGAUUUUGACCUUGGUUUUUCCAUCCGGGAACUGGGCAUAGUCAUUGUCCCCAAACUCCUAGGAUUACUGUGAGGAUUUAACGAGUCACUGCAUGCCAAGUGCUUCACCCAGGACCUAGCCCAUGACGUGCAUCAAUCUAUGUCAUUAUUCAUUUGUUUCAUUUUUAUUUAAAAAAUUGAAUACAAAUAGGGACUCCCAUUUCCUUGGUCACUCCCAGAUGCCUCUAACAGCUGCAGCUAGGCCAGGCUGCAAUUGAGAGAUAGGAAUUCAAUCCAGCUCUCUCUCACGGGCAGCAGGGCCUCAAGUACUUGAGCCGUCACUGCUGCUUCCCAGGGUCUGCAUUAGCAGGAAGCUGGAAUUGGGAGCAGAGCUGGGAUUCAAACCCACAAACUCUGGUAUGAAACGGGGGCAUUGUAACCACUACAUUCAAUGCUCACCUCAAUUAUUACUCGUUGUGGGGAGCAAUCCGGACUAGACUGAGUUACUGGAAUUAAGACUUAUUCUAUGCAUCUGCUCUCCCACAAUAUGGCGCUGGGAGAGGAGAAAACAGCUUCUACACAGCUGCCUCCAGUUCAACCAAUAAACUGUAGGACUUGCUCCUGAUUGGAGGAGAG
ensembl:lncRNA